rnacentral:rRNA from 1 species
UGGGGAAUAUUGGACAAUGGGCGCAAGCCUGAUCCAGCCAUGCCGCGUGAGUGAUGAAGGCCUUAGGGUUGUAAAGCUCUUUCGCCGACGAAGAUAAUGACGGUAGUCGGAGAAGAAGCCCCGGCUAACUUCGUGCCAGCAGCCGCGGUAAUACGAAGGGGGCUAGCGUUGUUCGGAAUCACUGGGCGUAAAGCGCACGUAGGCGGAUUGUUAAGUCAGGGGUGAAAGCCUGGAGCUCAACUCCAGAACUGCCCUUGAUACUGGCAAUCUCGAGUCCGGAAGAGGUAAGUGGAACUGCGAGUGUAGAGGUGAAAUUCGUAGAUAUUCGCAAGAACACCAGUGGCGAAGGCGGCUUACUGGUCCGGUACUGACGCUGAGGUGCGAAAAGCGUGGGGAGCAAAACAGGAUUAGAUACCCUGGUAGUCCACGCCGUAAACGAUGGAGGCUAGCCGUUGGCGAGCAUGCUCGUCAGUGGCGCAGCUAACGCAUUAAGCCUCCCGCCUGGGGAGUACGGUCGCAAGAUUAAAACUCAAAGGAAUUGAC